UACGAAGGGGGCUAGCGUUGCUCGGAAUCACUGGGCGUAAAGCGCACGUAGGCGGAUCGUUAAGUCGGAGGUGAAAUCCUGGAGCUCAACUCCGGAACUGCCUUCGAUACUGGCGAUCUUGGAGUCCGGGAGAGGUGAGUGGAACUCCGAGUGUAGAGGUGAAAUUCGUAAGAUAUUCGGAAGAACACCAGUGGCGAAGGCGGCUCACUGGCCCGGUACUGACGCUGAGGUGCGAAAGCGUGGGGAGCAAACAGG
rnacentral:rRNA from 1 species